rnacentral:rRNA from 1 species
UUGGAGGGCAAGUCUGGUGCCAGCAGCCGCGGUAAUUCCAGCUCCAAUAGCGUAUAUUAAAGUUGUUGCAGUUAAAAAGCUCGUAGUUGAAUUUCGGGGUCAGUAGGUCGGUCGUGCCACUGGUAUGAACUGGUUUUACUGAUUCCUCCCUCUUGAAGAACUGUAAUGCCAUUAAUUUGGUGUUGCAGGGAAUCAGGACUGUUACUUUGAAAAAAUUAGAGUGUUUAAAGCAGGCUUUAGCUUGAAUACAUUAGCAUGGAAUAAUGAAAUAGGACGUUUGAUCCUAUUUUGUUGGUUUCUAGGAUUGACGUAAUGAUUAAUAGGGAUAGUUGGGGGCAUUAGUAUUCAAUUGUCAGAGGUGAAAUUCUUGGAUUUAUUGAAGACUAACUACUGCGAAAGCAUUUGCCAAGGAUGUUUUCAUUAAUCAAGAACGAAAGUUAGGGAAUCGAAGACGAUCAGAUACCGUCGUAGUCUUAACCAUAAACUAUGCCGACUAGGGAUCGGAUGAUGUUAAUUUUUUAAUGACUCAUUCGGCGCCUUACGGGAAAC